rnacentral:rRNA from 1 species
UGCGCAGGCGGUUCGGAAAGAAAGAUGUGAAAUCCCCGGGCUCAACCUGGGAACUGCAUUCAAAACUGACAAGCUAGAGUAUGGUAGAGGGUGGUGGAAUUUCCUGUGUAGCGGUGAAAUGCGUAGAUAUAGGAAGGAACACCAGUGGCGAAGGCGACCACCUGGACUGAUACUGACACUGAGGUGCGAAAGCGUGGGGAGCAAACAGGAUUAGAUACCCCGGUA